rnacentral:rRNA from 1 species
GAUGAACGCUAGCGGCAGGCUUAAUACAUGCAAGUCGAGGGGCAUCAAGGUACACGAAAGUGUAUUGUUGGCGACCGGCGGACGGGUGAGUAAUAGGUAGGUAACCUACCUCAUACUGAGGCAUAGCUGGGAGAAAUUCCAGGUAAUUCCUCAUGAGGUUAUAUGACACAUGUGAUAUAAUCAAAGGUAUCGCAAGGUACUGGUAUGAGAUGGGCUUACUGACCAUUAGCUAGUUGGUGAGAUAAGAGCUCACCAAGGCGAAGAUGGUUAGGGGUUUUGAGAGAGAGAUCCCCCACAUUGGAACUGAGAUACGGUCCAGACUCCUACGGGAGGCAGCAGUAGGGAAUAUUGGGCAAUGGGCGGAAGCCUGACCCAGCCAUGCCGCGUGAAGGAAGACGGCCUUAUGGGUUGUAAAACUUCUUUACUAUGCGACUAACUAGAUUUACGAGAUAAUUCUAUAGAAUGUAGCAUAGACAAAAGCACCGGA